CAAUAGCGUAUAUUUAAGUUGUUGCAGUUAAAAAGCUCGUAGUCGGAUUUUGGCUGAGAACGAUCGGUCCGCCGUUAGGUGUGCACUGAUUGGUCUCAGCUUCCUGGUGAGGAGGUGUGCUUCACGGCCACUUAGUCACCGUGGUUACUUUGAAAAGAUUAGAGUGUUCAAAGCGGGCUUACGCUUGAAUAUAUUAGCAUGGAAUAACACCAUAGGACUCCUGUCCUAUUUCGUUGGUCUCGGGACGGGAGUAAUGAUUAAGAGGAACAGUUGGGGGCAUUCGUAUUUCAUUGUCAGAGGUGAAAUUCUUGGAUUUAUGAAAGACGAACUUCUGCGAAAGCAUUUGCCAAGGAUGUUUUCAUUGA
rnacentral:rRNA from 1 species